rnacentral:rRNA from 1 species
CAUGUGGUUUAAUUCGAAGCAACGCGAAGAACCUUAUCAGGCCUUGACAUUCAAUGAACUUUCUAGAGAUAGAUUGGUCCGUUCGCGAACAUUGAGACAGGUGCUGCAUGACUGUCGUCAGCUCGUGUCGUGAGAUGUUGGGUUAAGUCCCGUAACGAGCGCAACCCUUGUCCUUAGUUACCAGCAUGUAAUGGUGGGCACUCUAAGGAGACUGCUCGGUGACAAACCGGAGGAAGGUGGGGAUGACGUCAAGUCAUCAUGGCCCUUACG